GGCUAGGCCCGGAGGCUGCGCCGUCAGUCAAGCGAACCGCAGAGUCCGCGCCCACUGCCUGCGUCAUAAUCCAGCGUCAUAAUCCAGCGCUAGAGACGCUCCCCAUGUCGUCAUCACCCAUGGUUGCCAUGGUUUCCGCCCACCUCCUCAGCUUACUCUAGCUUCGUGCCACCCCGUGGCGCAUGCGCUUUUCGGUAGCCGCGCUUUCCGGCGUUGGAGUUGCAGCUUCACCCUCGCAGAUUCGGCUUAGCGAGCGAGUCGGUGCUUCCGCGGAUCAAAAUUAUUAGCCGUUUUAUUAGAGCCCAUUAAACGUUGCAUAAACAUGGUUCAGAGCUGCCUGGGAGAAGAAAAGCCAAAGGAUGCCACCCUCUCGAUUUAUCCCACCCUCGGGAGUCUGAAAGCCGACGCCAGGAGAAAUCCCGCGAAGGCCGCCCGGGAUCCUGGUAGAGGCGACGCUGUGUGCGUUUAUGGAGCGCUUGCGGUGCGUGGCACUAGGCUGGGUGUGGUGGGUGCUGCCGAAAAAAGGGUUCCUCCCAUCCAUUUGCACGUCACCCUUCCCACCUCCUGCCCAGAUGGACAGAAGUGAGGACAUUCAUCGGCCGCAUUUUACUAAUGGCAAGGAGAUAGCGACUGAAGGGCAAGAACCUAGGGUUUCCUGUCUUUGAUAUUUCUCAUCUUUGAGGUAAGUACACCUGGACAGUCCCUUCCUUCCUCCUCAGGGCUCAUGCUUUCUUGCCUAUCCGUGUAAUUAAUAUGAUCUGGCUAUCUUUGUCUUUGUUCCGAAACUUCAGCUGCAAAUGAAAGUGUAAGUUAGGUCUGAGUCUGCACUAUAGACCUAGCUAUCCUAGGUUAAAGGGGAUAAAAUAGGAAUCAAGAAGCCUGGCCCGCUUGGGCUCCCAGCUCAAGUGCAUUCUGCAAUCCAGUUUAUAUUAGGCCUCCAUGUGGGUGGCUAUCCUUUAUCAAGAUCCCCCCCAGGGGGAGGAGGAUUAUUAGUCACAUUAUCAAACUCCCCUCCAACCCCUUUCUCUGCUUAGAGGUAUGUGUAAUGUGUAGUAGAAAGACCGAAUCCCCACCCAAAAGUCCUUACUGCUACUCAUGUUUUUAACCUUCUGUUCUUUACCCUACUCCCUAAUAAUGACCGCCAUCAUUUAUCUACUGCUUAAUGGAUACUAGGCACUGUGCUAAGGGUUUUAUGUUUUACUUCAAUCUUUUCAUCGGCUUUAUUUUGAUAGUUUGUUUUAUAGAGGAGGAAACAGACUUAGGUAAGUUACAAGAUGACAAGGUUACUACCUUGUUCAGUUAGUAGUCAGCAGCUAGUAUAUCCAAAGAUAGUACGAGUCAGAACUAGGAUUAUAAACUCAGGGCUACCUGAAACUCACAACUUCAGGCAUCUUUGAUUUCUUCUUUUCACCCACAGCCAAUUCUUCAACUAAAUUGUAUCCAUUCUGUUUUCACCGUCUCUUGUACUGGUCUCCUUUCUAUUGUAACUGUCAUCAUCCUAACUCAAGAUCCUUCUGUAGCUUUCCCCGGUUAUUGGAAUAUCCUUAUUACGACUGCCACCUUUUCUAAUCCAGUCUGUUUACUACUGCCGGGUUAAUUUCCCCAAACUGCAUGUCUGGGGAAUAACCUUGUGGUUAUGACAGAAUUCCCAAAGGAAAGCAAACUUGGCAAGGUGCAAAGACUAUGAAGACUUAGAACUUAAGAGUUCUAUGGAGAUCUUCAGAAAUAUAAAUUAGCUACUCAACAUAUCUGUUAUUCUGCCCUGAUUGCACUGUAAAGCAAAAGGAGAGAGGCCAUUAUGGGGAAAAAGAUCCAAAAGGACUCAUCUAAAACACAAGUUGGGUAGAGGAGAUAGGUGAGUACUAUUAUAUUAUGUUCAUGGAAAAUGAGUUCAUGGGCUUUCCUCUAAUUUUUAUUUUAAAAAUAAAUGUAAAUAUUAAAUAAAAUUUUUUAAAUGAACAAAUGCUUCAGUCUUUAUUAAUGUUUUAACUGUCCCUGAUCUUAAUUUGAUGUACAAAUUUUAUUAGUGUAAGAGUUUCUUUGACUAAAUUCCAUCUUGGGCCGAGAACUUUCAGGAGCGGUGGCAGUCUUUUUUUUUUUUCACACAGCUUCUCCAAGCAGGCUCUCUGCCAAACUUGUCCAACCCACCUUAUUUUGUUACUGUUGUUGUUCUGUUUUGUUUUAGGCUGUUAACAGCCUGAAGCCAUGGUUUUUAGUUUCUGUUUCUAGUGAUAAGCGGAAAAGAGAGAUGAGGAGGUAUUUACUGACCCAACCAGAAGCGGAAACUAAGAACCCAUGACUGUAUUAUCUCCCUUGGACACCCCUGUGUGAGCUCUCUUUCUCCAUCUAUAAAAUGAAGGUUUGAAUGAGGUCCUGGCAACUGUGUUAAAAUACUACGUUAAAAUUAAAUUUAUAGUAAUGAGGUAAUUUAUAGGAUGCUUAGGAAUUUUUAAGAUAAAA
rnacentral:lncRNA from 1 species